rnacentral:lncRNA from 1 species
UGCUCAGAAAUCUUUCAUCACUGAAUUAAAAAUUCAGAUAGUCCGAUACCAAAAUACAGUGAGUUGCUUGCAAGUCAUCGUGGUGAUCUCAAGUCGGAGGGACACUUAUACCUAUAUCCUUCAUGAGCUACCCUUGACAGCAGAGUGCUCAGUAGUUGGUCACGUUCAGUGAGAUGUACUCUUAUGUCUCACUUGCAUGCCAUGCUAGUAUCUCCACACUCCUUGGUUAAGAUGACAACAAACAUACAUGGCACAC